rnacentral:rRNA from 1 species
GACGAACGCUGGCGGCGUGCUUAACACAUGCAAGUCGAACGGUGAAGGGACCGGUUUUUGCUGUUUCUGGAUGAGUGGCGCACGGGUGAGUAACACGUGAGUAACCUGCCCCCUUCUUCUGGAUAACCGCAUGAAAGUGUGGCUAAUACGGGAUAUUCUUCGCCUGCUGCAUGGUGGGGGUGGGAAAGAUAUUGUUUCGGUGUGGGAUGGGCUCGCGGCCUAUUAGCUUGUUGGUGGGGUGAUGGCCUACCAAGGCGGUGCCUGGUAGCCGGCCUGGGAGGGUGGACGGUCAGAGUGGGGCGGAGGCAACGGCCGGACUGCUACGGGAGGCAGAAGGGGGGAAUAGGGAACAGUGGGCGAGAGGCUGAUGCAGCGGCGAGGCGGGAGGGAUGGAGGCCUGCGGGUUGUAAACCUCUUUCGGGAGUGAAGCAGGCCUGUCCCUUGUGUGGGUGGGUUGACGGUAGCUGGAUAAGAAGCGCCGGCUAACUACGUG